CCUACGGGAGGCAGCAGUGGGGAAUAUUGGACAAUGGGGGAAACCCUGAUCCAGCGACGCCGCGUGAGUGAAGAAGUAUUUCGGUAUGUAAAGCUCUAUCAGCAGGGAAGAAAGAAAUGACGGUACCUGACUAAGAAGCCCCGGCUAACUACGUGCCAGCAGCCGCGGUACUACGUAGGGGGAAAGCGUUAUCCGGAUUUACUGGGUGUAAAGGGAGCGUAGACGGCGAUGCAAGUCUGAGGUGAAAGGCGGGGGCCCAACCCCUGGACUGCUUUGGAAACUGUAUGGCUGGAGUGCAGGAGAGGUAAGUGGAAUUCCUGGUGUAGCGGUGAAAUGCGUAGAUAUUAGGAGGAACACCAGUGGCGAAGGCGGCUAACUGGCCCGUAACUGACGUUGAGGCUCGAAAGCGUGGGGAGCAAACAGGAUUAGAUACCCUGGUAGUC
rnacentral:rRNA from 1 species